rnacentral:rRNA from 1 species
UACGUAGGGUGCAAGCGUUAUCCGGAAUUAUUGGGCGUAAAGAGCUCGUAGGCGGUUUGUCGCGUCUGCUGUGAAAACCCGAGGCUCAACCUCGGGCCUGCAGUGGGUACGGGCAGACUAGAGUGCGGUAGGGGAGAAUGGAAUUCCUGGUGUAGCGGUGGAAUGCGCGGAUAUCAGGAGGAACACCGAUGGCGAAGGCAGUUCUCUGGGCCGUAACUGACGCUGAGGAGCGAAAGCGUGGGGAGCGAACAGG